GACGAACGCUGGCGGCGUGCUUAACACAUGCAAGUCGAACGAAGUGGCGAACGGGUGAGUAACGCGUAAUCAACCUGCCCUUCAGCGGGGGACAACAGUUGGAAACGACUGAUAAUACCGCAUACUGAAGGAGGGGCUUGCGUCUGUUUAGGUAGUUGGAGGGGUAACGGCCCACCAAGGCGAUGAUCAGUAGCCGGUCUGAGAGGGUGAACGGCCACAUUGGGACUGAGACACGGCCCAGAAUCCUACGGGAGGCAGCAGUUGGGAAUCUUCCGCAAAGGACGAAAGUCCGACGGAGCAAAGCCGCGGGAGUGAUGACGGCUUUCGGGUUGUAAAGCUCUGUUAGUCGGGGCGCGGUACCGGAAUAGAAAGCCACGGCUAACUACGUGCCAGCAGCCGCGGUAAUAC
rnacentral:rRNA from 1 species